AUAAGUUAAAUUUAAAAAACACAAAAAAAUAACUUUGUUUACUUAUUUCAGUUGAUAUUGACUUUAAGAAUCCAGCUGGAUUCUUAGGAACUGAAGCUAGUGUUCUGGAAGCACAAUUUAUUACACGGUCAUUUGGUGCUUUAUGUCCAGACGAUAUCGGCUCAGUUAUCGAGUGUUCCGGAUUUAUCAAAGGCAUGAUGAUAAUUAUCAAGACUAGUUGAUCGCCCUUGCGGUUUUGGAUUUUUGGAUAUGAGUAAAUACUAUAAGUUCCUAACGUGUGGCGUUGAUGAUGCUAGGGAGAUUGUAGAGCAUGAUGCAUUUAUGACAUUAGACGUCUCAACCUUUCCUCCCCCUCCUACUCCAUCAGUUAUUACGGUACCUAUAGAAGAAGAUAGAGAAAUUACAGAGGAAGAAGAAAUCACUACAAAUAAUGAAGAUUAUCUCAAUAAAUUAAAAGAAGAACAAACAAAGAAUGCUGAACAAAAAACUAGUUCGUUGUUUGACGACUAUAUUCAUGUUACAGAAGAUGUAUCUGUAGAUGAGACUACUACUGAUGUAAGUGUAUUAUCAGAUUCGAGUGAAAUGGACCUUGGAACUCAAUGGAAAGAUAUUGGCUUCCAGCAUAAAAAAGGAUUUGGAAAAAAAAACAAGAUUUGAAGGAAAACAAGAUUGAUUCGAUAACUGUAAUAAAA